GACGUAGGAGGCGAGCGUUGUCCGGAUUCAUUGGGCGUAAAGAGCACGCAGGCGGUUUGGCAAGUCGGAUGUGAAAACCCGAAGCUCAACUUCGGGCCUGCACUCCGAAACUGCCCGACUAGAGGUAGGUAGGGGAGAUCGGAAUUCCUGGUGUAGCGGUGAAAUGCGUAGAGAUCAGGAGGAACACCCGUGGCGAAGGCGGCGCCCUGGUCCGUUUCUGACGCUGAGACGCGAAAGCGCGGGAGCGACGGGAUAGA
rnacentral:rRNA from 1 species